UCGAUACUAAUUGAAUCUACUGAACGAGUUUUGGAAACCCUUUUUCAUUUUCCCUAAAAACGCAACUUUGCAAUUUUCCACGAUAAUUUUCAACAACGUACUUGUACGAAUCUGCUGCAUAUGAAAAAAUUAUAGGUACAACGUUCGCCUCAUAGAAUUUUCCAGAGACAAGAAAAAUUUUCCGCAACAGAAGCUUGCACGUGCGUUAAUCUACUAUUCCGUUUGGAAAAAAUUAAUAAUUUGAGGAAAUAAUAACGAUAAGGCGAAAUAACUAGACAAAUUAAAUAGCUAUUGGAGUAUGUUGAGCAGAAACCAAGCGUUGGCUAGAAACCAAGGUGAUUUGAGAAGUUUUCCUUCGGGAUUCAACGAAAUGAGCUACCUAGUAGUAAUCAAAAGUAUGAAAAAGACUAACUCAGCUACGAAAAAUCUAAAACAAGGUUAUUGCCUAUCGUCAAUGCUAUAUGGGACAAACUAUUUUCCCAUUCCAAACGUCCUGUCCAAAUCUAUUAAAUUCCCUUCAGAAUUAUCCUACACGAAGACAACAACGCGACGAAACCGGUAACCCGAGCUAUUAGGGUACACGUAAAUCAAUUGGGCAGAUGAAGCUCUCAGCUGUGGAGAAAAAAAUUCAUCUUAGAGAAGGGCGUUUCCAAUAAAACCAUGAUCUUCCAGGUUGGUGGUGGAGGCCUCUUCAGAAAAGAUAUAAAAUGUUAAAAAACCUAACCAAGAGUUUACUCCUGGAAUAAUAAUUGAAAUAAAAUAUGUUGACAAUCGAAAA